AGUCGAGCGGAACGAGUUAUCUGAACCUUCGGGGAACGAUAACGGCGUCGAGCGGCGGACGGGUGAGUAAUGCCUAGGAAAUUGCCCUGAUGUGGGGGAUAACCAUUGAAAACGAUGGCUAAUACCGCAUGAUGCCUACGGGCCAAAGAGGGGGACCUUCGGGCCUCUCGCGUCAGGAUAUGCCUAGGUGGGAUUAGCUAGUUGGUGAGGUAAGGGCUCACCAAGGCGACGAUCCCUAGCUGGUCUGAGAGGAUGAUCAGCCACACUGGAACUGAGACACGGUCCAGACUCCUACGGGAGGCACCAGUGGGGAAUAUUGCACAAUGGGCGCAAGCCUGAUGCAGCCAUGCCGCGUGUAUGAAGAAGGCCUUCGGGUUGUAAAGUACUUUCA
rnacentral:rRNA from 1 species